CAUGAUGGCGCCCCUAGCGGCCGCCGCGGGAGGAGUCGGCCCUAAUUCUGGGUCCCAGCCAGCCCCCGGGCUGCCAGCGCUCCUGGGCUUAUCACAAGCUUCAUAAUAUUCCGUAUUUCGUAAAGGCCCAAAGGUGGGUGAAAGCUUGAAAAUGUGACCAGAGAGUAAUUGCAAUGCUCGGAAAUGAGAAAGCAAUGAGAAGAGCCUCAAAUGAACAAGAUAUCUUGUAAAUGUAUUAUGUACUACCAGGCUUACUGCAGAUGUCAGGAUAUUCAUCGUUACCAGUACAGCCACUUCAAAAGGAGGAUUGGAAGUGCCCCCUGCCUGCCUAACUGUUGGUGGGAGAAGUGGGUUUGAACACCCUGAGGCUGCAGAGGACAUUGGGUUU